rnacentral:lncRNA from 1 species
AGAAAUUGCAUGUGGGAGGCAAAUUGAGUGCAACUCAAAUAAAAACAACUGACCAGACAAUCCAUAGACUGAGGAGCUGCUUUCAUUUACCUGGAUUACGAAUCUAUCCCAUGACUGUAUAACAGAAUUAUGACAUAAUCUGCCUUGAAGGGAAUUUGAGUUAAAUAUAUCUCAUUUGUGCAUGAAAAACAGUUUUGAAAAUCAAGAGUCAGGAGCUUCAAGGAGUGUUUCAUUCCCUCAACAAAUAUUUGCUAAGAACCGUGAGGGUGUCUGCUCUCCUGCGGGGAGAUGUAACAGUCAGCAAGCAGACAAAUCCUCCUCUAAGGGGACUGGCACGGCAGAGGGAGC